UACGCAGGGGGCUAGCGUUGUUCGGAAUUACUGGGCGUAAAGGGCGCGUAGGCGGUGUGUCAAGUCAGGCGUGAAAGCCCCGGGCUCAACCUGGGAACCGCGCUUGAGACUGGCACGCUCGAGUUCGGGAGAGGAUGGUGGAAUUCCCAGUGUAGAGGUGAAAUUCGUAGAUAUUGGGAAGAACACCGAUGGCGAAGGCAGCCAUCUGGACCGACACUGACGCUGAGGCGCGAAAGCGUGGGGAGCAAACAGG
rnacentral:rRNA from 1 species